AUUUCUCCUACUUGCAUUCAAAUUUGAUUUUUUAUAUCCUUUUAGAUAACUUAUUCCAUAUUUUGCAAAUUGAAUUUCCUUCAGUAAACACAGUAUUUUUUCCACAAAAAUCCUCUGAUAAAAAAUUACAAAGAAGAACACCGCAAAUAUCAUAAUCCAAAUGAAAAUCUUGAAGGGACAUUAUAAAGAAAUGCACAACACAUAAUCCAAAUGAAAAUCUUGAAGGGACAUUAUAAAGAAAUGCACAA
rnacentral:lncRNA from 1 species